rfam:Microgenomates (Woesebacteria) bacterium GW2011_GWA1_41_13b TT42_C0002, whole genome shotgun sequence.
GGGCCCUUAGCUCAAUGGUAGAGCAAUUCCCUUUUAAGGAAGCGGUUCUGGGUUCGAGUCCCAGAGGGCUCA